rnacentral:rRNA from 1 species
GUAGGUGGCAAGCGUUGUCCGGAAUUAUUGGGCGUGAAGCGCGCGCAGGCGGUUCUUUAAGUCUGAUGUGAAAGCCCACGGCUCAACCGUGGAGGGUCAUUGGAAACUGGAGAACUUGAGUACAGAAGAGGAAAGCGGAAUUCCACGUGUAGCGGUGAAAUGCGUAGAGAUGUGGAGGAACACCAGUGGCGAAGGCGGCUUUCUGGUCUGUAACUGACGCUGAGGCGCGAAAGCGUGGGGAGCAAACAGGGAUUAGAUACCCUGGUAGUCCACGCCGUAAACGAUGAGUGCUAAGUGUUAGGGGGUUUCCGCCCCCCUUAGUGCUGCAGCUAACGCAUUAAGCACUCCGCCUGGGGAGUACGGCCGCAAGGCUG